rnacentral:rRNA from 1 species
AACGGCCGUACCAUGCUGAAUAUACCGGUUCUCGUUAGAUCACCGAAGUCAAGCAUCAUUGGGCGCUGUGAGUACUUGGGUGGGUGACCACCUGGGAACACCGCGUGCCGUU